rnacentral:misc_RNA from 1 species
AGUUACCACACUACAUUACAAGGUGUGGUGGUGGUGGUCUGGCUGUGAGUGGAAUUACGGUCAAUUCCUCGUGGCAAGACAGAGAGGCAAUAGUGUACGAUAGCCACUGCUUCUCUACACUUCCUCCCUUGUGCUGGUGAAGGUGGUGUUCCUCCGCGACUGAAGUGAGUCAGUGGGCAGCAGCAGCAUGAUGAAGAUGGUGACUCUCCUCGUGGUGGUGGUGGUGACCUCACUUCACUACGUCGAGGCGAUACAGUGCUUCCAGAGGACUAUAUCAGAGUGUGGUGGCUCCUGCUUCACCAGAAUCCCCCAAGGAGAGGAGCUGGAGUUUGGGUGUAAUCCCCAAGUGACUGACAACGGAGAGACGGCUGUGGAGGACGGGUUCGCUUACGUCAUCCACUGUAACCACGAUAAGUGCAACCCAGACUCUGGUUCCUGUCUCUCUCUCUCAUUCUCUCUUUUGGUGCUGGGAGCUCUCUUCACCCUCCUCCUGUAAAACCACGCUUUGAGUUCCACCAUCCGCUGUAAAUCUGCGCUGGGGGCCUCCACCUCUUGUAAACCAUGGGCUGGAGUUUCGCCUUAAUGCACCGCCUGAUGUAAACUAAGGUCAAGCAGUCUCCUCUCCUCCGUGUACUAACUUGUGUAGACUAAGAAUGGGGAACCUCGCCCUCGCUGCACGUCGACCGGAAGACUGAAAUUCCUGAGCAGUUGAUGAAUUUUAUUCUCUAAAAUGUUAAAACUAUUGACAUUAAACUUUAUAAAAACAUCUCCGGAUAGUGUUACUUA